CAAUCAUAAUUUUUUUUGGGGUGAAUAAUUAAACAAAUGAUAAUUGAAAAUUUUAUUAAUUAUGGUUAUAACUUAGAAAUGGAGACUCACUCUACAAGGUUAGAAUUUUGUGAUGUCAUUGCAUUGCAAUUUUCAAUCCAAAGACUCAUUUUCUCACUUUCUCCGACUCUUUCUCUCUCUCUCUCUCUCUCUCUCUCCAAGACUUCUAAGGUACUCUCUCCCAUUUUCCUUUGCAAUUAGUUUUUUAGGGUUAAAAUUUUGGAUUCUGUUAAUUUUUCUAUCAUCGUUUUCAGAUUCAAUGUGAGUGCGAUUCUGUGUCUGUUGUUUGCUUACGGAGAAAACGGUGAUGAAAAAAACAAAUUAUUCGAGAAGAAUGAAAAUUUUUAGAAUAGAAAAAAGUUAUAGCGUCGUACUCUUCGAAUUGCGUUCCCUCGCCUUUUCGCACUUUUCUGUUGUUUGGUUACGAAGAAAAUGAAUUAGGUUUUCUUUGCAUUCAGUUGCACGACUAUCACAUUUCAAGUGGAAGAUUAUUGCACUUGGGCUUGUUUGUUGUAGCUCACCACGAGUACCGGUGAGCUAUAUGGUGGAUAAAAAACAUAAAAGAGCAUUCAACGGCGGAAAGCAACAAAAUAGGUCAAGGGUUUACUAAAAAACAAGAUAGCUCAUGGUUUUACUAGUCCAAAAGAAAAGGUAAUUAUUAUAAUUUGAAAACAUAAAAUUAAAAAUUCUUGCUUUAGUAGAAUUAGAGAUAAAAGUCAAAUGGGUAUGCUAGAUAUCUCUGAAAACAAAAACAACCUUUCAUUUCAGGAGGAUUCAUACAAAUUCUGAGCUUUUUUUUUUUUUUUUUGGGUAAUAAAUUCUGAGCUAGGUUGGAGUUCUAUUGAACUACCAUUUUCCAUGGACACUAAAACUAGUUGAUAGCAAAUAUAAUAUUACUUAAAGAAUUUGUAGUUAUUAUGCAGGUAUAAGUGUAAAUAUAGUGUUACUUUUUGGUGUUGUACAAAGAAAGGCACAUGGUUGGAAGGUUUAAAUAUGGCCUAAUGGGUGUCAAUUUUCACAGAAAAUCGACGCUUGUGAUAUGAGAUGCUUUUAUUUAUUUUUCUUUGGACGAUUUUAUUUAUUUAUUUAUUUUUAUUUCAAUAGUCCUAAAUCUGGCUCAACUUCGGAAACCAAAUUUGUUUAGCGUUAGUAUUGCUGGCAAAAGGGUUUCUCAGCCUCACAUUUUUAUAAUUCCAGAUUCCCAACCAUGUUUUCAAACCCAAUAGAGAAGGAAUAUAGCGGAAAAAAGUCAUCCCACAUUCAGCCGUUGGUUCCAAAAAAGUUUCAUGCAACUUAAUCCUAAUCAGCCAUUCUGUUUCAUUAUAUAUCAACUUCAAAGUGCAAUCUCAAAAGACAAGUCAAAGACUCAAAGUUGGUCAGGAAUAGGGAGUUCUUUUCACUCAAAAAAAAAAAAAAAAAAAAAGGUGGUGAUUCAGGAGAAACUACUGUUUUCGGAUAUGUUAACAAAGAGUUUUGGUAAAUUUUUUUCACAGACGAAAAUGUAAGAAAGUUAAAUUUAGUAAUUGACAACGUGUGAACGGUUUCCACAAGAAUUAUUCUAUGUGGCUCUUUAGGCAAUCUUAUAUAUGGAUUUAUUUUUGUGAUUCUUUUAAAGAAUAGUAGAAAAGGGUUUCUUAUAUAUAUAGCAUCUCCACCACAAUUUAUAUGCAUUAUAUUCCUUAUCAUAAAGAAUCAAUCAGUCAAAGCACAUUUUAUUCUCAAAAUGUGGGGAAAUUCAUACUCUAUAUAAAUAUUUUAGUAACAAAUUUAAAUUUCUUUUUCUUCUAUUUUAUCUUCACUUUUACAAACUAGGAUACAGUAAAAGAUAGAAGUGGUCUUAAAUAUAAGUCCCUAAAAUUCACGUUAAAACUCCAAACAAAUAUUCCAUAAAGCAUAGAGAUCAUUUAGGAUGUGAAAGAAGUGGCAUCAAUUCUUCAUAAACUUUAUAAGAUCAACAAUAUUGUCAAUGAGAUUUUAACUGCAAAAAUGAAGAUUAUAACCAAAUAUCCAAAUUAUCAGUUCUUACUAUUUUAACAUUUGCAUCCAAAUAUUUUCCCAAUUUCUCUAUCUUUAAAUAGGGGCUGAAAAUAACAGUUCCUUAGUUUUGCUUAAAAUAUGGCCACAACACAUUAAAGCAAGCACCCUGUAGUAGAGAAAAAAUAAUAAUAACAAUAAUAAAAUAUAUUAUAACUUUCCACUACUACGGGAGUAACAUAUUCCCAAGAUUCAAGCACAAGUGUAGUCCACAUGAAACCCACAUGUGUUUGUGUCUAAGGAGUACAAAAUUCUCCCUGUUUCCCACCUAGUAAGCCAUGGAAGCAGCUCUGCUCAGAAUUUUUAUUUGAUACAAAAGAAAGUUUGAAUUCUAUUAAUACAAACUGAGAGGACAACUUAUAUUGUGAUUGUAUGUUACAAAGAAUGACCAGCCAAUGGAAAAAUCAGAAAUACAAAAUUUCAACCAACCAAAAAGGUUUGGCUACAGCAGAGUUUGGCCUGUAAAAGUUAUUUGACUAACAAACCAAAAGGUACAACAGAUAUUUCCAUGCUUCAAAAAUCAAACGCCAAAACAAAAACAAAAAAAUAGAAAAAAAAAAAAAAAAGAAAAAAAAGAAA